UGGAACAUAACGUUACAUUUUUUUGUGAGUAAAGUUAGGCAUUUCAUUUCUCUUGUUGUAUUUCAGAAAUCAUAACAGCCUGUCUUUUUUAGCACAGCGGCAUUCAAAUUGACCAAUCAGAGCCGAGAAUAUCUAAUAAGUCGAAGUAGAGAUGAACAGAUGAAGAUACAGCCCAUAAAAAUACUUAUUCUUGGUGAGUGCCAUGUAGCGACGGAUCAAACGGACACUCAUGUCAAGCUUGAUGAGGACACAGUCAAAGCUUUAAAAGACCUUGUGAUUAAGUCUUCAGUGUCUGAAUGGCAAGAAGUGACCCUCCACUUAAACGUGACAUUUAAACUGCUCUGUGUUUUGGUUCAGCCGUUUGUAGGUUUAUCUCGAGUAAGUUCAAAUGCACUUCUGCAUUUGUCCAGUAACUUUUUGUUUAGAGAAUUACAUCAUUAUGAUUAUAUAAUUAUUCAAUGGUUGCAUAUUCAUAGUGUACUUUUCAUAUUGAUGUAUUAAUGUUCCACAAUUUGAUAAAAGUAGCUCAUUGCAUUUCACUGAUCUUUGUUUUAUAUUGUAAAAUCAUUUCAAUAGCAGUGAAUACAUACUUAGUUGUUUCUUUAACAUUUAAUUAGUUGUUAAUGAUGGAAGAAACCGGUUCGUAUGUAUGAAUACAGAAUAGGUAUCAUUUUAGAAUGAGUUCAAACAUGUUUUGGUGGCAAACAUGCAGGUAAAAUAGUACAUGUAUAACAUUCUAAUAGUAAACUUGACUGUAAUUCAAAUGUCACAUACAGUACAUUAGAAAUGAUUUAUUUUAUGUAUACAAAUGUGUGGGCAAUAUAUUAUUAUUUCAUUUUGUAUGCUAUAUUAUUUAUGUAAUAUUAUUAUAUCUGAAAUUAUUAAAUUACAUUUAUAAAUGUUUAAAAGGUGGGUUCAAAUGUGCUUCAAGUUGUAACUGAAUACAAUUUUAGAAAAUAGCACAGUUGAGUACACUUAGAUUGUCUUAAGUUUGUCUUAACAAGUACUAAAUACUACUUUUUAGUAUAUUAAGCACAAUUUACUGCACGAAAAUAAAGAGCUUUUGGUACCUUAAGGUUGUGAACUUAAAGUGUAUUUUAGUGAACUUUUUCA